ACGGAGGGUGCGAGCGUUAAUCGGAAUUACUGGGCGUAAAGCGCAUGCAGGUGGUUUGUUAAGUCAGAUGUGAAAGCCCGGGGCUCAACCUCGGAAUUGCAUUUGAAACUGGCAGACUAGAGUACUGUAGAGGGGGGUAGAAUUUCAGGUGUAGCGGUGAAAUGCGUAGAGAUCUGAAGGAAUACCGGUGGCGAAGGCGGCCCCCUGGACAGAUACUGACACUCAGAUGCGAAAGCGUGGGGAGCAAACAGGAUUAGAUACCCUGGUAGUCCACGCCGUAAACGAUGUCUACUUGGAGGUUGUGGCCUUGAGCCGUGGCUUUCGGAGCUAACGCGUUAAGUAGACCGCCUGGGGAGUACGGUCGCAAGAUUAAAACUCAAAUGAAUUGACGGGGGCCCGCACAAGCGGUGGAGCAUGUGGUUUAAUUCGAUGCAACGCGAAGAACCUUACCUACUCUUGACAUCCAGAGAACUUUCCAGAGAUGGAUUGGUGCCUUCGGGAACUCUGAGACAGGUGCUGCAUGGCUGUCGUCAGCUCGUGUUGUGAAAUGUUGGGUUAAGUCCCGCAACGAGCGCAACCCUUAUCCUUGUUUGCCAGCGAGUAAUGUCGGGAACUCCAGGGAGACUGCCGG
rnacentral:rRNA from 1 species